CUAGGUUGGGCUGGGCUAGGUUGGGCUGGGAUAGGUUGGGUUGGGCUGAAAAAGACAGUUCUGUAGCUUUGAGAAUCCCUAAACUUAAGAAGAACCACACUUGUUACUUCCUGACACCGUGGCCUGAAUCCACAAGCGUUUUAUCCUCCGUCUUCCUCCCGUCUCUUCCAAGGACGCCUUUGCCAAAGGUGAGGCGUUCCUGGGUAACAAGGACCACGGUUACAGCGCCUCCCCCGGGCUGCCGGCCGGCACCCGUUGGAACGGCUCCUGGCAACACGGCAUCACCAUAGUGACUCCGGAGCGCAGCUUCCUGUUCACCUGCGAGUCGGAGAGCGACCAGCAGGAUUGGCUGAAACACUUCAAUGAUGUCAUCAACGCUGUGAUGUCCCCUCAGGAGUACACAAUGGAAGCCUUGUUCAAGCACAGGCAUUGAUGGAGCAGAGGACCAGCAGGACCCCCUCACCCCCCCUCUCUCCUCCACUCAGGACCCUCAUCACUUCUGCCUCUGAGCAUGUGGUUGCCACAGAUAUGACCUCCAUCACUCAUUGGAUUAGAUAUAACAGGACGAGGCCAUUUCUCACACUAGAAUGACUAGAAAGUGAUUACCACACAAUUUUGUAAACGCUCUGGUAUUUUACUGGUAUUUUACUGUAGUGUAAAAAUUAUCCUGUGUGCCACUGAUGUAUUUUUUUCAUGGUAAGAGAACAAUAAUGCGGUUGCUAUUAUUAUAUAAUCACAGUGAGCUUUAAGUCGUCUUGUGUAUUAGUAUUUGACGUGAGCUGCUUAUUGGGUAACACAGGAAGUGGAAGGUGUUGGACAGCGUUCAUCGCGCUGAGGACAAAUGCUGAUUUUGUAGUUUGAGUACGCAUCCAACGCGGUCCAACAACGCCUCCAUGUGGCGCGCGGCACAAAGUUACUUUCCCUGUCUUUUUAUAUAUAAACCAAUUAUUGAUACAUUUCUAUGGUAUUUCUUUUUUCUUUACCGUUUCUGUUUCUGAUUUGUUUUUUAAAGGCGUUCUACACUUGAGCAUGGCUGGCUGACGUAACUCAUACUGAUGAUCACCAAUAAAUAUGUUUCCUCUGGAA